UACGUAGGGGGCAAGCGUUGUCCGGAUUAUUGGGCGUAAAGAGCGUGUAGGCGGCCACACAGGUCUGCUGUGAAAACUCGAGGCUCAACCUCGAGCUGUCGGUGGGAAACCGUGUGGCUAGAGUCCGGGAAGAGGAGGAGUGGAAUUCCCGGUGUAGCGGUGAAAUGCGCAGAUAUCGGGAAGAACACCCGUGGCGAAGGCGGCACUCUGGGCGGUACGUGACGCUGAGACGCGAAAGCGUGGGGAGCGGAACAGG
rnacentral:rRNA from 1 species